AGAGUUUGAUCAUGGCUCAGAUUGAACGCUGGCGGCAGGCCUAACACAUGCAAGUCGAACGGUAACAGGAAGCAGCUUGCUGCUUCGCUGACGAGUGGCGGACGGGUGAGUAAUGUCUGGGAAACUGCCUGAUGGAGGGGGAUAACUACUGGAAACGGUGGCUAAUACCGCAUAACGUCGCAAGACCAAAGAGGGGGACCUUAGGGCCUCUUGCCAUCAGAUGUGCCCAGAUGGGAUUAGCUUGUUGGUGAGGUAACGGCUCACCAAGGCGACGAUCCCUAGCUGGUCUGAGAGGAUGACCAGCCACACUGGAACUGAGACACGGUCCAGACUCCUACGGGAGGCAGCAGUGGGGAAUAUUGCACAAUGGGCGCAAGCCUGAUGCAGCCAUGCCGCGUGUAUGAAGAAGGCCUUCGGGUUGUAAAGUACUUUCAGCGGGGAGGAAGGUGUUGUGGUUAAUAACCGCAGCAAUUGACGUUACCCGCAGAAGAAGCACCGGCUAACUCCGUGCCAGCAGCCGCGGUAAUACGGAGGGUGCAAGCGUUAAUCGGAAUUACUGGGCGUAAAGCGCACGCAGGCGGUCUGUCAAGUCGGAUGUGAAAUCCCCGGGCUCAACCUGGGAACUGCAUUCGAAACUGGCAGGCUUGAGUCUUGUAGAGGGGGGUAGAAUUCCAGGUGUAGCGGUGAAAUGCGUAGAGAUCUGGAGGAAUACCGGUGGCGAAGGCGGCCCCCUGGACAAAGACUGACGCUCAGGUGCGAAAGCGUGGGGAGCAAACAGGAUUAGAUACCCUGGUAGUCCACGCCGUAAACGAUGUCUACUUGGAGGUUGUGCCCUUGAGGCGUGGCUUCCGGAGCUAACGCGUUAAGUAGACCGCCUGGGGAGUACGGCCGCAAGGUUAAAACUCAAAUGAAUUGACGGGGGCCCGCACAAGCGGUGGAGCAUGUGGUUUAAUUCGAUGCAACGCGAAGAACCUUACCUGGUCUUGACAUCCACGGAAGGUCUCAGAGAUGAGACUGUGCCUUCGGGAACCGUGAGACAGGUGCUGCAUGGCUGUCGUCAGCUCGUGUUGUGAAAUGUUGGGUUAAGUCCCGCAACGAGCGCAACCCUUAUCCUUUGUUGCCAGCGGUCCGGCCGGGAACUCAAAGGAGACUGCCAGUGAUAAACUGGAGGAAGGUGGGGAUGACGUCAAGUCAUCAUGGCCCUUACGACCAGGGCUACACACGUGCUACAAUGGCGCAUACAAAGAGAAGCGACCUCGCGAGAGCAAGCGGACCUCAUAAAGUGCGUCGUAGUCCGGAUUGGAGUCUGCAACUCGACUCCAUGAAGUCGGAAUCGCUAGUAAUCGUGGAUCAGAAUGCCACGGUGAAUACGUUCCCGGGCCUUGUACACACCGCCCGUCACACCAUGGGAGUGGGUUGCAAAAGAAGUAGGUAGCUUAACCUUCGGGAGGGCGCUUACCACUUUGUGAUUCAUGACUGGGGUGAAGUCGUAACAAGGUAACCGUAGGGGAACCUGCGGUUGGAUCACCU
rnacentral:rRNA from 1 species